UGGCCCUCAGUAGCGGCGAGUGAGCGGCAAGAGCUCAGAUUUGAAAUCGUGCUUUGCGGCUCGUAGUUGUAGAUUGCAGGUUGGAGUCUGUGUGGAAGGCGGUGUCCAAGUCCCUUGGAACAGGGCGCCCAGGAGGGUGAGAGCCCCGUGGGAUGCCGGCGGAAGCAGUGAGGCCCUUCUGACGAGUCGAGUUGUUUGGGAAUGCAGCUCCAAGCGGGUGGUAAAUUCCAUCUAAGGCUAAAUACUGGCGAGAGACCGAUAGCGAACAAGUA
rnacentral:rRNA from 1 species